rnacentral:lncRNA from 1 species
GAGAGAGAGAGAGAGAGAGAGAGUAAGGUUCUUUUUAGGCCCUUAGAUCUCCACCGAUGUCUCAUUGUGUUUGGAUUUGAAUCCAGUCACAUUCUGCUCAUUGAAUUCCUCCACUCUGCUCCAGAACUAUUUCCCCCCUUUUCUCUCCGUGCAGGACAGGUGAUUGUUUGUUUUAUUUAUUCGAAAUUGAGUUGAAGUCCGUAUUGCUUGGUAGAAUUGGAAAAAUCGAAUGAUCUCUCUCUGUUUUUUUUAUUGGCUAUGAUGGACCUUGCACAAUUUCAUUUGUCCUCUUCUUUACUUCCGGCUCUCAGAUCAGUAGGUUUUGUGUGUGUGUGUGGCGCGCGCGUGAUUAGAGAUGCAGGCUGAGAUUGAAGGCGUCGUUCUCUUUUAUACCUGUUUAAGUUACCACCAGUUCAAUAAUCUUUGCAAAACAAUCUAGUCGUUUGGUUAUAAAUUGAUAUGAUUUCGUCAGGGUGCUUUCUUCGUCAUCUGAGAAGCUUAAUGUAGUAAAGAUCGUGGAUUGAAAGAUAAUGUUCAUGCAGUGUUUUUGAUUUAUACUUUGGAUUCAUCUAAUUUCGUUGGCACUGUAGAGAAUUUACAGCUCUUUACAAAUUUCUGCUCUUUUUCUUUCCACCACUGCAUAGAUUUCCUCAGCUGGCCGAACCAAAGGGCAGUGAGUUGUUUCUACUGCUCCUACCGAGCAUGAUAUACAACUCGGACAUUUUAACAAUACUAGCAAUCUGGACGCAUGUAAUGCCUGUUAAAACAUAAAUUAAUAAAAUUCAAAAGCUUGGGGAAUUAGAUAGACAAAAUACAUGGAUUAGAAGGAGUUUCGUUUUUCCUUGUUUGUUUUGAAAAUCUAAAACAGAGUCCAAUGGAUUGCGGGUAUGGAUGAGAUAGGUACAGAUUUUUUUCUUCAAAUAAAUAGAUUCCAAUUAGUUUCCGAAUAUCAUGUAGACAAGAGAUAGAGAGCAAAAGGUAAAAAAAUCAAAAAAAAAAACAAUCAAAUGUAGUUGAUCAUGCUAAUUCAAUUUCCUAGGAUGGAUUGCGCUCCUCUUGAGAGGGGAGGAUAUCUACUCCUCUUAGGUCCAAAACCAAUAAUCAAUUAUUUGAAUUGAAGAUCCACAUGGUUGAUCACGAUCUAUAUCACUGAAAAUGCUUAGAAACUAAAAUUACCUGUUUAGCAGUCUCUAACCUAUGGACUGCUCUUAGUACGAGGACCUAAAAUUUGUUUCCAUAGUGAGAGCUAUAUGUACUUACAAAUUAAAUAAUUUUUACCACUUGAGUUCGAAAAUCCGACAAAUAUUGAACUUCCCUCCAAGUAUGUCACUUCAUUUAGUCAGCCUCAAUUUAAUGGAUGCAUUAUCGACUUAAACUUUGAUGUGAAUUGCUGCUAUGCCACUUCAGACAGCUUGUGGUGCGAUUCUGGAUUUGAUUACUAACCAUGAAGGAGAAAAAGACCUUUCAAAACACAGAAUGCCUAUUUGUGCAGGAAAUUUACAGUUGAUAAAAUAAUAUUCUCUUGGCGUGAGCUAUGCUCCAUUGUUUAUCCUAAGGAUAUUGCAGCAGUAUGCUCCAUUCUUUAUAUCCUAAGGAUUUUGCAGAAGCAACAUACUUACUGCAUAUGUUCUAUCUUUCUUUUUAAAUUCUAAUUCACCCAAUUGUCAUUGUCUUUGCCUCUUUUCACUUUCCCAUUAUUAGACUUGCCUUUUACUUAUUGCUAUUCAAUAUAAUGAUUUCAUUUAUGUGCAGUUAUCUUCGCAUUCAUCGAAUACAAAACUGCUUAUCACUCCUUCUAUCUUCCUGUAGGUUAGUUCGCAUAAUUUUACCUUAUGAUUGUUAUUGAAUAAUUACAUUUACAUAUCUAGGUCUUGUUGAUCAUGGUUAUGAUGCCAAACCAGGAAACUGGGAACUUUCUUGUAUAUUAUAUUUUGAAUAGUGCAUGCAAACUUUUUUGACCUAUUCAUUUAAAUUUCAACAAUUUUUGUACGUAAUUCAGAAUUUUGGUCAUAUAUAGUGCCUUGUACAUAACUUAGUGUCCAUUGAAGCGUAAGAUGACACAAGAUAUGCUUUCUUCUUUUGUUGAUGUAAUUCCUCAUUAUAAUAUUCAUCCAUGAUUUUUAUGGGUAGCUCGAGUUGAGGUCAUUUGAUUAAUUUCAUGACCUAAACACCAAUCUCUUUUACUAUGGACCAUUCAAGAGCUUAGAAGCAUUUACGAGGAAUGUGUUCCACUCAGAGGAGUGAUAAAAUGUAUGUUUGUUUACAGUUCGAUGUGGCAUAGGGAACAAGAUGCAAGUGUGGUUCAAGAUAAGGUCAAGCAAAACUUCAGUUAUUCUGGCUUCGACCUAACAAAAAAAAAAAAACGGAAGUUUCAAUGCUGUGAUCAUUUUUUUUUCUCAGUGUACAUACAAACACAUAUAUGUGUAUAUAUACUACCUAAGUAAGACAUGUUAGAUAAGAUUUCAGUUAAAGAUAAUCAAAAACAAGAAUCAAGAAAAAGGUUAUAUUAAUAGAUGCUUAUCAGUGGUAAAAAAUGACCUAGGUAAAGACCAAAAGAGGAAGAAGAAGGAAAUAAGAACUAGCGGAGAUAAACGUUAUAUAUUUAGAAUGCCCAUAUUUAUUAGCAGGCCAAAUAGAUACCUCAACUAGCAAUAUACGAAUGCAAUGUUAGCAGAGACACAAAUGAAAAUGAGCCAUAUAUUAAGACUGUCAGCUAGGAGAUAAUCAUGUUUGUUCAAUUUUGUAAUGAUCUGUUGUACAAAGGAAUGGAGACAAAGGCAACCAUAUCAAGUGGAAUGAUAGUAGGGUGGAUGAACUCUGGAAGCGCUUCUGGGGUGCUGUGUGAUUGUUGCAUCUGAGACUAGAGGGAUAUAUUUCUAUGACAAUAGUAAAGUCUGCAGUGUUGCGUAAUUUAGAAUGUUGGGUAAUAAACAAAGCCCAAGCACUGAGAAUAAGGCUGCUACUAGAAAAUAUAUGAAGCUGGGUGCGGUAAAACAACAAUAAGAUUAGAAGUUUGUUCACUAAGGGAGGCAAUUCAUUUGCGUUAAUUGUGGAUUAUGUGGUGGAAAAGUGUUAGAUGGUAUUGUUGUAGAAAAAAGUUUUGAGGAGGGAUGUUCGAGAUUGAGUUGGAAGUUGCAUUGAAACAUCAACAAAAACAAGGCAAAGACAUAAGAUGACAGAGAAUGAUAUCUUGUAAUGGUAAUACUUUGUUAUUUCUUUGUAAGAUUACUCCAUGGUACCAAAUGCAACCACAUAGGCUUUUGCAUAUCACUUUGCGAUUAGAAUCAUAUGCAGCUUCUUGUAGUUUGUGUUAUUAGUGAUGGAAAGUUUGGAUUUAUCAUAGCCAGUAACACUCUUAAUUUAAUUUCAGUUUCAGCAGAGGCUCAUGGGAAUUGCCAUGGAUCUCAUAGAUUGAAGCCUUUGUUCUUUAUAACAUCAAGGCAGCGAUCCCAUCUCCUUCUUGUCCGUUCCACCAGUCGAUUAUGCUGUCUACAUGAUUCCUUUGCGACUUUUCACUCGCAGGUGGCAUCAUGCAUCGUUUGCGACCAAAAUGAUUGGAGCUGAACGUAUAGAAUCUCCUCUUUUGAUUAUGUAAUGGCAUCCAGGUCCAUAUCUCAGAAAUUAGAGUGCCAUCGUAUAGAAAAGAG